AUGCUGUGAGGCAAAGCCCGUUAGAUGGAGCCCUUGUAGGGUGGAGGAGGCGAGGAGCGGAGUAGCCUACGCUGACGUCAAUAAAAAAAAAAGCAGUCAUUUUUAACCAGUCUGCGCAUUGACUGACCGUUGAUAACAUUGCGCACAGACAACACCGCUGCUGGACCAUACCUAAUCUCAUCGAACCACCGUAGAAUUUCAACCGGACACCGGAGCACGGAGAGAUAAAAAGGAACCCCGUCGUUUGCAGGUGCGGGUGGGCUGACGUCUGCAAGAACAACCGACCGAGGCAACGCUUGAUGGAGGAGUGAAAGCUCGAUGGCGGACAUGUCUUUUGCUCUACGCUUUUAGCCUCUUUACAGUGCUGCCUUGUCGAGUUGUUCAAGCAGCAUUGUACAGGGCUAUGACAGCGUCGAGCGCCCCUCUACUCCCGGGGCCACUGCCCCUGACCCCUUGGAUGGAGGUCAACCAAUUGAAAUACCUAUUAAUGAUUAAUUGUAUGAUUAACCUUUUUUUAUCAGUGUGCUGCUUACAAGGGGGGAAAUUAGUUAUAUGUAUAAAAGUGUAUACUAUGUAAAAAAACAAAAA